AUCAUCAUGGAUUAUGUGCUGAGUGCUGACAGCACAUUCGGUUCAGUACAAAGGCAGAGGAAGAGCAGGGGGUUUUCCUGGUCCUGCUUGCUGUCUGCAGAGAAGUAUGCAAUCUGGGCCUAGCAGUAGUCAGUCUGGAAAGAGCCAGCCUACAACAAAGUGGGGUCUCACUCCCUGCGUUCGGUUACCAAGGAAGUGUAAACAGCUCCCCCCAAUUCAUCUGCAGCCAGGGGAUGAUUAGAGCAAAGGUGAAGCAGAACAGUCCAUGAAAUAACUGCAGAAACUGGAAUUUGCCAUUUAGCAGUGUGAAAGAAAGUAAAUGUUACAGCACAAACCAGAGACACUGAGAAAAUAUAUCAGUCACUAAUUAUCCGCUGUGCAGUGUGGCCUAGUGGAUAGAGCACUGGACAGAGACGUGGGUUCUAUUCCCAGCUCUUCUGCUGGGUUUUUUGGGUAAGUCACUUCCCCACUCCGUGCCUCAGUUUCCCCAUAUAUAAAAUGGGGAUAACAUUGCUGAUCUCCUUUGUAAAGUGCUUUGAGAUCUACUCACGAUGUGCCUGGAAUUAUUAGCAUAACAGGGAGCCAAAGAAUAUGCACAAGUAUCGAAGCCACCCCAAUCAGGGGAUUAAUCAUGGUGUAUUGUGCUGCAUGAAGUGUUUGCAGUGUACCCACAAUGAACGUUACAGCCCCACAAACUCUGGGCUAACAAGGCCAGACCUUGUGUUCCUGGUGCACCCAGCACUAUUCCACUCAAAUCAAUGGGAGUUUGGGGUGUGCAAAAUGCGGGAUCAGAAACUGCAGCGUUUGGAGACAGGUGACAAAGCUUGAGCUGUUCUGCUUUCUGGAAAUCCAGCCACGGGGAUUCCCUGCUCUCAUUUCUCAAGCAAGCCGCACUGUGAGCAUUCAGGAUUCACUUAAAUCCUUCAUGACCCAGAUCCUCAGCUAGUGUAAGUCAGCAUCAGUUCAUUGGCGUCAGUGGAGUGAUGCUGAUUUACAGCAGCUGAGGAUCUGGUCCCAAAUUACUGUUUCAUAUCAUGUUGUCAAGCAAUAAGGCGCAGUGGUGGAUAAAAUACUGAGG